UUCUAGUCUAAGUGGAUGCAGUUCAGC
rnacentral:piRNA from 1 species